rnacentral:lncRNA from 1 species
GGCCGCCGCGCCCCCGUCCGCGUCUCCUCCGCUCCGCCCGGCCGCCUGCACCUCAAGCGCUGACUCGACCGCUGCUUCCAUCCAAUCCAACCUGUCGAUCGCUCGCGUGGUCGAGCUCGCCAUGGCUAGGCUUAGCAAGCUCUUGAUUGAUUUCUCCCGCCGGCAAAUUCGAAGGAGAUGAUCACCGUGUAACAUACUACUCAGAGGAGAGCACUAGAUUAGCUAGCGGGUUAGUUAGUUAAUUACUCUAGCUGAUUAGUAAUUAAGUAGCACUUAGCUUAAUUACCAAUUUUUCAUCAGGCCUCCUGUGCCUGUGUCUGAUCUGUUCAUGCGUCAAUUGGUAUGCACUCUUCGGAAUUGGAGAAAUGGGGGAAAAACAUUGCAUAUCUAUGUCGUCGGAAAUUGCAGUGUUCAUCUGUACAAUAAUUAUUCAGUAAUUUACCAAGUAGACACACCACUUGCAUAUAUAUAUUCCACAGAUCAAAGAACUGAGCUGACUAAUCAAAUCUUACCCAUGUUUACGGGAGACAGCCGAUGAAAACGGAAACUAUUUUCCAAGCGUCUCAUGCCUUCAAGCUUAAUUAUUUUAUAGAUUUUUUAACUAGACGUUCUGAAAAUCCAAAUAAAAAUCUGAACCGUUUGGAAACUAGAGAUUCUAGAAGAAGCCGCAGCGGCCAGAAGCUCCCCUAAAUAGGUCCUACGCCACCAGCACCAGCAGGAUCGAUCGACAAGCGGGGAACAGCAGAAACGGCAUCCGGUCCUGUGAGAUCUUGGAAUGGUAUGCCUGCCGGGAUCACAUUCCACUUGCUCAUC